AUAAAUUUCAGGUUUUUGAAAGAUUUUUUUAAAAGUCCAAUCAUUCUCUCUACAACAUCUCCACCAAGUGGUUGUUCAGCCUAGGUUUGAACACCUCCAAUCAGUAUCAUCUUUAAACAAUACUUUUUCAAGAUGGAAGAAUUAAUAAAUUAUUCCAAUGGUUACAGAAAGGUUAUCUGAAUUCAGAAAAAUGCCCUAGGUCUAGUCAUCAGAAGGUCACUGGUGACUCCAAGAACAUUCUCAGCAAAACAGUGAAGGCAGAAACCAGAAUGCAAAAAGACUAGGAAUAAGUCAUGAAGAGGGGAGACAGAAAUGUAAUUUUCUCAAAAAUACUUACUGUAAAUAUCAACAUACAAAUUAGAAAAUACCAAUAUAAUUUUAAGGUUACCUUCUAUAAUGAUUUCCUCUAUAAAUGAGCCUUCUUUCUUUUCUUUUUCUCUGUAUUCAGUAUCUGAACAAAAAUUCUCCAUAUUUUCUUCCCUUAUUUCUUGCUCAGUAUUACAUUUCUGUAUAACGGUGUUUUCUGAUUUUUCAGUUGACGUUUCACUGUUUUCAUUAUUUACUUCUGGAGCAUUCUAGUGUAAAAUGGAAGAGAUUCUUUUAAAAACAUUGUUUACAAGUAUAAAACAUUUAAGCAGAUGUGAUAAAUGUGGAAUCUGUGUUUCAGUUCAACCAUUCAGCAAUUUCUAUUUGAAAGUCAAAUGAUUUUUUAGUAAGUUUAAUAUACCAUACUCUAUAAUGACAUCACUUUACAUUCCUUUUAUAUAGUCUAUCAUAUUUAAGCAAAAUGGAGACAUUUAUACAUUUUCAAACAUGCAUACCACAUUAUUAUAUAAUACCACAUGUUACAUGUAAUAGAAGAACCACCCUAUUAUUAAAAACAAGAUAGACAUGGCAGGUAAAUUGUUUUGAGAAGUAGUCUAUUUUUUAAAGAGAGAAGCUCUUGCUAUGUUGCCCAGGCUAGAGUGCAGUGGCUAUUUGCAGGUGCGAUCAUAGUGCACGACAAGCCUAAAAAUUCUGGCCUCACACUAUCCUCCUGCCUCAGCCUCCUAAGUAACUGGGAUUACAGGUACUCACCACCAUGCCAGGUGAAGCAGUAUUUUUAUGUAUCCUUAAAACAGCGAAUCAGUCCAACAUGCUUUUUCUUCCCCUAUAUAUUAAGCACAUGUUAUAUGUGAAGCACUAUACUAGGCUUUGGGAUACAAUGAUGAACAAACUACAGUCUUUGUCCUCAAAAAACUUAUAGUCUGGUAUGAAAAUAAGAAAAUAAAUAACAGGCAACUUUAAUAGGAUGUGGUAAGUGCUCUGAUAGGGAUAAAUACAGGUUACCAUGGGCACAUACAGGAAUAGUCCUGUCCCUGUUUUGGGGAGUCAAGGAAGGUUUCUUGGAGAAGGUGUUAGCUAAACAUACCUGAAGUAUGAUAUGGAGUCACAGAUGGGGAGAAGGAGGCACUCCAGAAAGAAUAAAUGGUAUAUAGCAAUGCUUAAGAGCUAGCAAGAUUAAGAAUAUAUUUAUGGAACUAUAAUUUCAUUUGGCUAGAGCUUACAUGCAGGAAGAAGAAUGAAGAGAAAUGAUGCUUGAGGUAAGCUGGGCCUAGGUCAUUAAGGGCCUAACACAGCGUGUUAAGGAGUUUCAACUCUACCAGGAAGACACUGAGAAGUCACUGAAGGGUAUUAAACAAGGAGUGAAUAACAUGAUCUGACUGGAAAGACCAUUUUGGCUGUAGUACAAAAAAAUGGACCAAUGUUUUCGAAACGUCAUUGAUGGAAACCAGUAAUGAGAAAUAUGUUUUAUAACUCAAUAGGCAAAUCAAACAGUACUACUGUUAUACACACUAAUGUUUCCUAUGCUAUUUCAUUUUAAAAAGAAUUCUGGUCACAAACCACCAAACUAAUUUCCAUGAACCACUGAUAGGUUGAACCUAGAAGUCUGAAAAACACUAAAGGGAGAGAACACAUGGGGCAGAGUGGUGCAUCAGGAGCGUGCUGCAGCAGUCCAGGUGACAUCAGUAAAGACGAAGAGCUGUGAACCCAUUGGUGAUUUAUGGAACUAAAGUUAAUAGGACUUGGUCAAUGAUUGCAUGUGAAGGCUAAGGGAGAAGGUGAGUCAAGAUCGACUCCCGUAGUUCAGAUUAGGCUCUCCACUGGCCCAGCUCAACAGGAAGUCAGAAGAUAUGGAAGCCCAUUGAUGCAACCCAUAUACAUAAGCCUUCAAAAGGAACUGAAGAGAAAUUUUAGUCAAGAAGAGCUACAGAAUUCAAAUUAGCUGAAGCUCAGGUUGAAGAAGCAAAAGGGGACUGAUAACUGAAACCACCUGCAUCAAUAUAACAGAGCUAUUUGGAGUAAGAACUGAGAAUACCUGUGUCAACACAACUUAGUUUUUUGUUCCAGGAAAUCUUUGCCCAGUAAAUAUAAGACUAUAAAAACCAAUAAAUUAUAUCACUGUUUGUUUCAGGCAACUGCUGCAAAACAA